rnacentral:rRNA from 1 species
AGAGUUUGAUCAUGGCUCAGAACGAACGCUGGCGGCGCGCCUAAUACAUGCAAGUCGAACGAGAAGGCGUAGCAAUACGCUUGUAAAGUGGCGAACGGGUGAGGAUUACAUGGGUAACCUACCCUCGAGUGGGGGAUAACCAGCCGAAAGGUUGGCUAAUACCGCGUACGCUUCCGGAACUGCGGUUUCGGAAGGAAAGCGAUACCGUGGGUAUCGCGCUCUUGGAUGGGCUCAUGCCCUAUCAGCUUGUUGGUGAGGUAACGGCUCACCAAGGCUUCGACGGGUAGCCGGCCUGAGAGGGUGACCGGCCACACUGGGACUGAGACACGGCCCAGACUCCUACGGGAGGCAGCAGUGGGGAAUAUUGGACAAUGGGCGAAAGCCUGAUCCAGCAACGCCGCGUGAGGGAUGACGGCCUUCGGGUUGUAAACCUCUUUCAGUACCGACGAAGCGCCUUUACGGGUGGUGACGGUAGGUACAGAAGAAGGACCGGCCAACUACGUGCUAGCAGCCGCGGUAAUAC